UAAGGUGCCCAGCUAAAGCCUUCUGUAUAAACACAGAAGAGGUACAGUAUGGACAAUGGCUGUGCUGAAUUCCCACAUUACCCUGCCAGUGUGUCUGAACUCUGUUCAAGAGGGAGGGGUCAGAGAGCAGUUAAAUCGCCAAAUUUCAUAAUUCACUGAC
rnacentral:sRNA from 1 species